GACAGAGGUCCCGAGCGUUAGGCGGAAUCACUGGGCUUAAAGCGUGUGUAGGCGGACUUCUAAGUACCUUGUGAAAUCCCACGGCUUAACCGUGGAGCUGCUUGGUAUACUGGUUGUCUUGGGCCAUCUAGGGGCUACUGGAACAAACGGUGGAGCGGUGAAAUGCGUAGAUAUCGUUUGGAACGCCAAUGGUGAAAACAAGUAGCUGGGGAUGUGCCGACGCUGAGACACGAAAGCCAGGGGAGCGAACGGG
rnacentral:rRNA from 1 species